UGGGGAAUAUUGGACAAUGGGGGGAACCCUGAUCCAGCCAUGCCGCGUGUGUGAAGAAGGCCUUAUGGUUGUAAAGCACUUUAAGCGAGGAGGAGGGUACUGGUAUUAAUACUACCAGGUACUGGACGUUACUCGCAGAAUAAGCACCGGCUAACUCUGUGCCAGCAGCCGCGGUAAUACAGAGGGUGCGAGCGUUAAUCGGAUUUACUGGGCGUAAAGCGUGCGUAGGCGGCUAAUUGAGUCGGAUGUGAAAUCCCCGAGCUUAACUUGGGAAAUGCAUUCCAUACUGGUGAGCUAGAGUGUGGGAGAGGAUGGUAGAAUUCCAGGUGUAGCGGUGAAAUACGUAGAGAUCAGGAGGAAUACCGAUGGCGAAGGCAGCCAUCUGGACUAACACUGACGCUGAAGUACGAAAGCAUGGGGAGCAAACAGG
rnacentral:rRNA from 1 species